UACAAACUUGCAAUGACAAUUCCAAGUCCAUGUCAAUUGACAAGUUGAACAUAACACAAACGAGAGGUUCAUCUCCAAGCUAGCAGUGACAAUUCAUAGUUCAUGACUUGAAAGGUUCCAACAUAACAGAAAUGCAAAAGUAGCCUUCACAUGAGAAAGAUCACUUUGACAUUCAUCUCCAAAAUAGCAAGAUCAACAUCCACAUGAUGAACGUCUACAAGUAAGAUAAGCAACAUUCACAUAAAUAAUACUUGGUAUCGUAUGACAAGUGAAACAUGUAGGAAGAAUAGUUACCAAUCAUUGAUCUCCUCCACCACAAUGGGUAACUUUAUGUUCUCAACAUCAUCCUCUUCAUUCUCAUCCCUCGGCUACAAGUGUGGAAGUUAGACAAAUGCUCACAUCACAAACAACAAGACCAAAAAAGAAAGAAAAAAAGGUAAGGAAAAGAUGGCAAACAUACCACCAGAUUCAAGUCAACAUGAGCACCCUUGAUAUAACUUGCACCACAAACUAAUGCCUCCACCAUAACCGGUUUUAACGAACUCCUAUAGUCAUCUAAUGCGACACAAGUUGACAAACUAGUUUGAGGAUGAGAAGUUGACAAGUUUAUAACCAAAGUUCAAUAGUACGAGUUGACAAACCUAAAAUCCUUCCGGUCGUGCUGAAGGUCGAUUCCGAAGACACGGAGGUAGCCGGGAUAGUAAGGAACCUCCUGGCUAUCUUGGCCAUAAUUGGGUACCUAGGAGCAUUGUCUUUCCACCAACCAAGAAGAUCAAGAGCCUUGUUGCGAGGGGCAACCUCAUCCUGUAAGUAGUUCCUCAACUCACUCUUUGAUAUUCUUGUUGAACGGGACGAUAAGAAGGACUCGUACCCAGCUUGAACCGGGAUACUAGGAAUGUUUGCAAGGACUGGAGCUGUAACUAACUAUUACCACAUAAACCUGGAUAAACUUACCUAUCGCCCUUAAAUUAGUAGUCAAUUGACCAGUAAAGAUUAAUAGAUUUCUUACUAAAUCUGAAACAUAGCAGCAGCAUCAGGUUGUAAGGGGCUAUUGAUACCGCUCAGCAUAGGUUAAGUUCCAAAAGCAAUUAAAGGUUGCAAGCACUUACCAAAGUAUAGUAAACCAAACAAGCUAUCAUAGUCUGUUGAUGGUUCACAAGCACAGUGGGGAAAAGGUGCCUAUUGAUUACUAGUACUUCAUUCCCCUUCUCCUUCACUACAUCUCCUGAAACUCUUUACUAAUUAUCUCCUGACAACUUAUUAGGUCAAGCAACACCUGGUGCCUAUAUGCCAAAUCCUGGGAAUGCAUCUUUCAGUGCUACAACUCAAUCCUCUCAUGCACAAUUCCCAGGCAUGUUACGCAUGUACCAUCUGCAGCAGCCUCCCUCAAUCGUAAGUCCACAUCCAAUGGUAUAGGUUAGAGAAAGAUUACCUCUUCCUCUUCAUGGCGCUCGGUGAGGAACCAGGGAAGGACGGACCGACGGCGUGCUGGCCUUGCUGCCUCCCCGAUGUACACGUGCUCCUCCAGCUCGGACUCGGAUGAGAUGGCGCCGUCGGUUAAGGGAGAGGCCGUGGGUCAGGCUGAGACGCGGGCAACGGCACCGUCGCCUUAGGGUUAGGGUUAGGGAUAGAACAGAGGAGACACUGCCUCUGUUUGCAGAAGGAAUCGAGCGAGGAGGGGGAAUGGAACAAGGGGGAAGGGGGUUGCUCGGCUCGGGGGCUCGGGGCCUCGAUCUGUUACACAGUUUAUGGGCCUUGCGCCAUCAGUCCGCUCGGUCGGCCCGGUUAAAGACCGGACUGGACCGAACUUUUUUCGGUUUGUUUUGCUGGGCUCGGACCGGCAUAUUUUCCUAUCGGGCCUGGACCGUGCGGGCCGGUCCUAAACUGGCCAUGAGCGGGCUGCAAAGGCCGCUCGUGCCGUCCAGGCUGAGUCAAGACUGAUCGAUUCCAACGGAGUUGCCUCAUGGAGUCAACGUACAAUUAUCAAUCUCAUGAACCUUCUCCCCAUCCAAAAUCCUGUGGAAACAAUUAGAGUAGUUGGAACCGUGGAGGGCGGUGAUGUCGUUUUCGUCACCACAGUGCUGGGCAUCUAUGAGAUUAAUGUCGAUUCGCAGCUAUGGAAGAAGCUAGGGAAGAGAGAAGAUUUAGAUGCUAUGAUUCCAUACAUGAGUUUCUACAAUCGGUAAGGUAUAGUUGUAUGUAUAUGUCAUUUAUUCUGAUUUGGGAACACUUGUUAAGUUAUACACCAAAUAAGUUAGUGGAACAAACAAAACGAUCGAUCUCGAAUCAGAUAUAAAGUUUCGUUUCAAAAGUUCCCAAGCAAAGUUCUGGUGAUUUGUAAUUACAACUAAUUAUGCUAAUUUAAUUGGCUAUUUAUAUCGUAUCAUGGCAUCCCCUUUUUGGAAUCACACCGGCAAAUUUAUGUUUGCAGAAAGGGUGAUGCCCAGUGACGUGGCGCAUUGACAAGGUAUGGUUGAAUAUGCUUAAGGGCAGGAGGCCACUCUCAUCAACAGGAAAGAUGACAAGCUUAGGCGGCAUGGGUCUUGUGAUGAAUUAUAUCACUACAUAGUAGCCCUUUGGUGCAGUGGUGCUUGCUUGAUUUCUCAUACUGCUUUUAGCUUUUUUCAGCAAGCUUGACAGUUUCCCCAUGUUGUUUUCGUGCGUAAUUGGAUGAUGGACUAUGUUGUGAACUUGUAAUGAACCUUCAAUUCUUGCAGCAGUAGUAGUAACCAUUUGCUCUGUUGUAUAAUUUGAUAUGAAAAUGCAGAUGCGGAUAGUAGCUUAAUCUUGUCAUUUAGAAAAUUCUACAGUUUGAUGUCUUGCAAUGAACCUUCAGUCCUGCAGCUGCAUUAAGAACCAUGUGCUUUGUUGUUUCAUUUUCUUGACAAUGCAUCUAUAGACAGGAGCUUAGCCUUACCAUUUUGAAAACUUUACAGUUUGCUCUCCCAAAUCUGAAUUCAUCUCUCAUGAGUUCAUAAUGAUGACGUGUCUAGAGCUAGUGGUUUGUCUCGCUCUAAAGAAGUAGAGAUGGUGAUGGUCUGUGCAUGCUGUCUCACUGAUAUGCCUUUAUUAAUUUAGUGAAUUUGGUUAGCGUUUGUUUUUUUAGGAAAGCAAUGUUACUGACGAAGUGACGAGUAUCACAUGUAAACUGGAUUUUGAGAUACAUGUUCAGGUAAGUACGGAUAUGGUGUUGUAUUGCUGCCUAAUGAUCUUGGAAGUUUUUGUUUCGUUAUCUGUUGCAUAUUUUUGGCCUCGAGUCCACAAAACGUAUUUGCAUGAUUUUUGUCGAGAAUUUUUACUUUUCUGAGUAAGAUUGGUAAAUUUUUCAUGUCACCCAUAAGGACUAUCCUAUAUGUAUCUGCAUGCAGUACCAUUUAAAGAACUAUAUAGUUUGUUCUCCCGGCUUCGGUCCAAUCUCUAAAGUCCUCUUCCAGAGUAGGUUCGGAUGAUCAGCACAACAUGAGGGCUUGUCCUGAGCUAGGAUUUUCCGCCGAUCAAGAGAUGGUCAGGGAUUGUGCAUGGCUUGAUUAUAAAUCUUAAUUACUUUCUUAACUGAAGUACUGAACUAAUACUACAUGUCAGGUGUUGUUAUUACCGCAGAUUUUUUUUACUUUUCUAGCAAAUUAAUGUUACUGCAGUUAUCUUGCCAUUGUUUUUUGUUGCCAUAUUUUUCCAAUAUAAGAGUAAUGGUACUUGUUGCCUAGAUUAUAAAUGCAAAUUCAUGUUCUUGCAGUAAUAUAAUCUCUACUACUAUUAAAAGAGCAAACGUUUUCUUUCUUACGGACACCCAGUUCAAUGUACACUGGUCAAUUAUGGUCAUUGGAUUAUCUAAGUCAAUGAAAUCUAACAUAUUAGAUUAUUCUAAGAAGAUAUCUUGGGUGCAAUUAGCAAUUAUAAUAGGAAGACGAAUCAUCUGCGGACGAAAAUCAAUUUCCAUGCCCCACUACGGCAACUUCGCUGUACGCAAACCCGGAGACCCCCAAAUCACGGUAAUUCCCCGUCCGCGUGCCCCGCUUCGCUCGAAGAUGCGCCACCCCGCAUCCUUCCUCCCGCCCAAGGAGAAACCCUAACCCUCGCCUGGAAGGAGCAAGAGCGAGAGCGCGAGGGAGAGCAAUGGAUCCUUCCAAGCUGGGCAAACUACGUUCGUACGUGGAGGCUUGCAAGAAGGUCCCGGCCGUCCUCGCCGCCCCCUCACUCACAUUCUCUUCUGCGACUACCUCCAAUCCAUUGCCGCCGUCGGCGCCUAUGCCAAGCCCACUCCCAGGUUCCGAUCCGCUGCCCGUUCCCUUUCUCCGGCCCCGAUCUCCUCCUUCCCUCUUCUUGAUUGUGUCCGACUGCAUAUUUAAUCUCUUGCACCAACAGGCUCCCGUCGGCCAUGUCGCCUCCAUUGCCCGGUCGCCCAUUAGAGCACGGACCCGCCUCGUACCUCCUUACCCGCCGCCAGUUUGCUAGACAGGACGCCCUUCUUCCAUGCUUAAGGUGAGGAAUAUUGAUUCUGAAGGAAAUAUGCCCUAGAGGCAAUAAUAAUGUUAUUAUUUUAUUUCCUUAUAUCAUGAUAAAUGUUUAUUAUUCAUGCUAGAAUUGUAUUAUCCCGAAACAUAAUACUUGUGUGAAUACAUAGACAAACUAAGCGUCCCUAGUAUGCCUCUACUUGACUAGCUCGUUAAUCAAAGAUGGUUAUGUUUCCUAACCAUAGACAUGUGUUGUCAUUUGAUUAACGGGAUCACAUUAUUAGGAGAAUGAUGCGAUUGACAUGACCCAUUCCAUUAGCUUAGCACCCGAUCGUUUAGUAUGUUGCUAUUGCGUUCUUCAUGACUUAUACAUGUUCCUAUGACUAUGAGAUUAUGCAACUCCCGUUUGCCGGAGGAACACUUUGUGUGUUACCAAAUGUCACAACGCUGUGUGAUUAUAAAGGAGCUCCACAGGUGUCUCCAAAGGUAAAUGUUGGGUUGGCGUAUUUCGAGAUUAGGAUUUAUCACUCCGAUUGUCGGAGAGGUAUCUCUGGGCCCUCUCGGUAAUGCACAUCACAUAAGCCUUUUCUAGCAUUGCAACUAAUGAGUUAGUUGCGAGAUGAUGUAUUACUGUUGGGGAUAUUACUACUGGGCAUAAACCGGCCUAUCUGGGCCGGGUUAACGUCAUCAGUAGUUCAAGGGUGUUAAAACCCAAGGAGGAAGAUAAGGGCCCAAGGCCUGUAGUCGGUUUAAGACCUGUAGCCGUAAACCGGCCUGGCAUGUAAACUUGUAUUGUAAGCUAGGAAUAAGGAGAGACCAACCCGGAUACAAGUAUGAACCGGUGUCGGGACUCUGUGGACCGACGGGCAUCACCCGUGUAUAUAAGGGGACGACCCGGCGGCGGUUCAGGGACAACAGACAACACCUCGAGACAUAGGCAAAGCUUGUUUGCUCCCUAGUCAUCGAAACCCCAUCAAUUCCAUCACAACUAGACGUAGGCUUUUAACUUCCUUGAAGGGGCCGAACUAGUAUAAACUCUCUUGCGUCCUUGUGUCCGCUUUAACCCCUUCAAGCUAACCUGUCGCGAUGGUUCCACGACUAAGUCCUUUCUCUAGGACAUCUGCCGUGACAAAACCACGACAGUUGGCGCCCACCGUGGGGCUAUCGCACGAUGGUUUCCGGUUCUUGGAGGUCCGCUUUGAAGGACUCAAGGGCUAUGUUGUAGGCCGGAUGACUAAGAGUCGUCGCGGCAGGCUCUACAUCGACGACGCAGGCUGGGGCCCUGAGGCCGCCUCAGUUGAGUACGGGUACCGGGUCCCCUUUGGUAGCAUUCACGUCUUCAUUGGCAAGAUCGGUGAACCGGGCCCUGAGCCGGACAUCUGCACCGACCUCGUCGAGAUGGCUCAGCGUGCGCAAUCCGCCCGGGUUAAACCGGCCAUGAAGCGUGCCUUCGUGGGAGUCAUCCAUGGAGGAAGUUAUGAGGACGGAUCGGGACUUCACGGGGCAACUGUCAUUUGUUCCGGUGACGAAUCUUCGACCGGAGAAAGCGAAUCUCUUUAUCAGCUACAAGAUGGCCGGAUUGGGAGCUGUUCCGAUGGCGACAGUAUUCCGGGCCCCUCUGAUCUGCCCAACCGGGUUGGAAUAUUCAUGGCCGGAACACAAGCAGCGCUUCAUUCUUCAACAGCUGCGGCAAUGAUUUGCGGUUCAGCAGCAGCGACGGCUGCUGGGGCAGGAGGCCCUGUGCGCCCGUCGGCUCAGGUUCUAUCAAAACUAUUUGAUGCGUUGGCUGUGCUUAUGGCGGUAGUUAAUCCGCCAGAUCAGGACGUUCACAAUAUGGAGAUUGCAAAGGUGAAGGAACAGAUCACCCGGGCCAAGGCGGAUCUGGCAGCUGAGGACACCAGGAUGGCCGCAGAGCGGGCUGCUUUGGACGCACAGGCCUACAGGCUUAUAUUAGACCAGAGCGCAUCACAUGAAGUCAUGAGGAGGAAGCACCGAUCCCGCUUACCUCUGGUUUUCGAGGCCAGAGACCUUUUCAACACUCCAAGGCCAAGAGCCGGCAAUCCGCUGGAGGGGAACCGGGCAGAAGCCCCUGGGACCGGCACACCGGUUCAGCCUCGUCAGAACGACCCGCCUCGUCAGAACACCAUUGUACCUCAGGCUGCUUUAACACCCCCGGGUCAUUACUCCAACCCAAUGGACAAUCUUGUUGCCGCUGCUGAACGGCUGGAGGCCAUUCCAAUUGAAGGUGACUCGCCGCAGGCAGUAGAGACACGGCGGGUCAAGGAACUUCUGAGGACCGCUUUGGCCCAAUAGGAAGCAUACUCGUACAGCCGCGACCGGAUCCACUCGACCCCUUGUCCAAGCCGGAGCUAUAGCAGACAUAUGGAUGAACCGGCAGUGUCGAGUAAUGAACAACGUGGGGCACCUCGGGACAACAACCCGGCGGGUGGUGCUGAUGACGCUCAGGGAGUGGCGGACCGGGCCCGCGCGUGCAGGGAGGCCGAGUUAGCCGCACAACAUCAGGCUCGGCAGCUCACGCCGGUUCAUCCAACCACCUUGACUGAACCUGGUGUUACCUCCAGUUCUUUGGGGGUGCCUUGCCUUAUCCCCGCUUUACGCAACGUGUGCUUGCCCAAGGAUUUCAAAGGCCCGCGCAAGGUGCCAAAUUACACGGCGGAUCAACCUCCAGAGACAUGGUUGGAGAGCUAUGAGAUGGCCAUGGAGAUGCUUGAUGUGGAUGACGCGGCGUGUGCAAAAUACUUCACCAUGAUGCUCGAAGGAACGGCCCGUACUUGGUUAAAAAGCUUGCCGGCUAAUUCUAUCAGUUCAUGGGCCCAAUUACGGGCCCGGUUUAUCAGCAAUUUCAAAGAUACCUGUAAACAGCCUAUGUCGAUAGUGGACUUAGCUGCAUGCGUCCAGGAGGAAGGAGAAUCAACGACUCAUUGGGUGCGCCGGGUUUCACAAGUGUUGCACUCCUCAGACCGCAUCAACGCUGACACCGCAGUAUUAACCCUAGAGGGAAACUGCCGGUUUGGACCCCUGAAGCUGAAGUUGGGACGGAUGAAGCGUCAUUGCACUGACUUGGGGACUCUCAUGGCCGCUUUGGUGAAAUAUGCCGAUUCUAAUAGUACCAAGGAUCCCGAAUCUGAUGAUGACAAGACAGGGAAGGGAAAGAAGAACAACAUCUCCAAAGGUCAGCAGCAUCACUGGGUAGGCAAUGGCGGAGGAGGCAAGCGUAAAGCAGAUGGUAACAUGGACUUUGUGACUAAUACCAAUGCAUAGAACAAUGGCCAGCGACACAAGGGUAGGCCAAGAAAUCGUAGUGGGGCACCCAACCCUAACCCAAACCGCCUAAACUUUCUGCUAAACCAGCCCUGUCCAAAACAUGGGACGAAGGAGGAACCAACAAACCACCUUUGGAAGGAUUGCUUUAUUAUGCAGGAGUUCAAGAAUUCUAAUAAUUUCCGGUAUGAUCAUGAAUCUGGCGAUGGCUCAGGGUCUGGGUCGGGUUACGGUGGAGGAAGUUUCGUUCAGGGUUUAAUGGUAAUCCGGGCGGAAAUAAUGGUCAAAAUAAUCGGAACAGCCAGGGUGGUUACAACCAACAGCAGCAGCAGCAGCAGUCGGGUUACCAGAGCAACCCAAAGCAAUUGAGUGGUGGACAGUACCAUGUCUUUACCACUAGCUUGGACAAGCGAGACCGGAAGGUUCAGAGGCGGGCGGUCAACUCUGUUGAACCAGCCAUACCCCGUUAUCUACGUUGGUCUGAACAGCCGAUCAUAUGGAGCAGAGAGGAUCACCCGCCCCAGGUCGAUAACCUGGGUCAGCUGGCGCUGGUGGUGGCGCCUCAGGUGGGAGGUUAUAAGUUCACCAAGGUGCUCAUGGAUGGAGGGAGCAGUAUUAACAUCCUGUACUAUGAGACAUUCCGUCGUAUGGGACUAACAGAUAAGAAUCUCAAACCGUCUAAUACAGUAUUCCAUGGUGUAGUGCUUGGCAGAUCAGCAUAUCCCGUUGGUAAGAUAGCUCUGGAAGUGGCCUUUGGGGCUGAUCAUGAUUCCAGAUCAGAGACGUUGACGUUUGAGGUGGUGAAAAUCCAAAGUCCAUAUCAUGCCCUGUUUGGGCGACCGGCGUACGCCAAGUUUAUGGCCCGGCCCUGUUAUGUGUAUUUGCAGCUCAAGAUGCCGGGUCACAAGGGGACAAUAACGGUUCAUGGAAGCUGCAAAAUAGCUUUGGAAUGCGAGGAAGGAGAUGCGGCUUAUGCAGAGUCGGUUUGUGCCACCGAGGAGUUGAAGUACUAUAAAGACAAUGUUGAUCCGGCGGACAUGACUCCGUUGAAGAAGCCAACUACAGAGCAUGAUCCGGCCCUAAAGUUCAAAUCGGCAGUAGAGACUAAGCUUGUUGAUUUCGUACCUGGCGAUUCAUCUAAGAAGUUCAGCAUCAGUGCCAACUUGGAUCCAAAAUAGGAAGGCGUGCUCAUCGAGUUCAUCCGUGAGAAUCAGGACAUUUUCGCAUGGAAACCUUCUGACAUGCCAGGUGUACCGAGGGAACUCGCUGAGCACACACUUAAUGUGGAUCCUAAAUUAAUGAGGACAUCAAUACCAUUGUUACACCCACAGCCCCUACUGUUACAUAUACUGGACCAAUUACUAGAGCUCGCGCACGCCAAUUAAAUUACCAGGUACUUUCGUUUCUUGGUAAUGAUUCUAAUGUUCAUGAGAUUAUGAUGCUGCCUAAAUUGGAUACAUUUGUUUUGCUUACAAAUGAAGGGCCUAGCUUGGAGAAGGAUGAACAUUGGAGCAAAAACACGCAUGGAGUUGAUGGCAUGCGCAAGGGGAUCAAGAACGGAGUUACAAGUGAUGAUUUCAGGACUUUGAAGCCGCCAUAAGGAGUGCAUGAAGCCUUGGACGAAAUAUACAAGAUGCCACUUCAUAAUAUUCGUCCAUAGGCUAUUCUAGGUGCUGCGUCACCUUAUUAAUGGGCCAGGCCCAUGUAAUUUCGAAAUACUUAAGUAUAGGCUAUUUUUAGAGUCCGUAUGUGUGGGGAAACAAGAGUUAGGGUUGGUUUCGGACCCCACCCUCAAGGGCCACGAAAUUCCCCCCUCUUCCUCCAUAUAUACAGCCCUUAGGGCGUCGUUUAGACUUUGGGUUUUGUUUAGAUUAAAAGUUCACCAUAGCUGCAACUUCACGUACUUCGUUUGUGUCCAACGACCAGACCAAGACGUCACAGAACCCCACCUUGAUCAAUAAAGCUUUCAUCUUAUAUUCGCAAUAUCCCGAUUGCAAUCUCAGUUUCUUGCUUGUUCUUCGUUUGCUCGCAGGAAACAGACCCUCGUGGUCAGGUUGAUCGUGCUCCGGCGUGGUCAAUAACCCUCGGAAGUUGGUUUAGCGAUUGCUAAGGCGCGACGUCUCGCACGUUCGUAGUCGGAUCGUCAAGGUCGACUCCCACAGAAAACGAUAGCCACCAUCUCAUCGAAAAAUUGGGACACCUUAGCCUCUAUCCUCAUAAUCUCCCACAUAAUCAUCCUCCUCCACAUCAGCAGUAGGAGCCACAGAAGUAUCAACAGCAGCACCAGCAGUUUGGCCCGACUGAAGAGGGACAUGGCUCGCUCGGCGGAGGGCUGUUUCCCGACGUGGAGGUAGUCGAUGUUGUUGCUGUUGUUGCAGAGGUGCGGCAGGAGAAGCCGAUGGUGGUGGUGGAAAACGCGAAAGCAAUUCAGCAAACUUGUUAUCGAGCUUUGUUUCAAACGUCUUCUCCAUGCCAUCUAUCUUCUCCAUGGCCUCUUCAAAUCUGUUUAUCACAUCUUGCACCUGUCCACUCAUCAUUUGCUGAAACGUAUCAUGAAGCUCCUUGUUCGUCAAGUUCUCCCAGUCAGUCUCGUCGGCUUGUGAUCCUGGCAUGGUUAGCAGCAAUAGAAACACACAAGAAUAUGAUCCUACAGACUACUAACAAGUGGUGGUGGUGGCGGGUGUCACAAAUCCGUCAAGCAAAUCUCAAAUUCUUACCAGUUCUUACCCAGCAGCAGGCGGUGAUCGGCAACCGUUGUAGUCAAAACUCUCAAAAGCUUGGAUAGAGCGAUUGCCAGGGAGAGUCAAACGCACGACGUAGAUGUAUGUGGAGCUGGGAAGGCUUAUAGUAUGGUAGCAAAAAGGGUCAGCAAUAAUCAAUUCAGAGAUGCAAAGUUGAAUAAACGCUCAACUACGGUACUGUGCUGGUCCUAGGCUAGACCGUGCUAGAGACGCGAGCCUAGAACACUAACAAAAUCACGGCGCUGCACGUAAAUAAGGGAAAAGCACACUCUGGAACUCUUUUUUUCGCUCUUUUUUUUGCGCUCCUCUUUUUUUUUGCGAAAAAUCACUAUAAUGGCGAGUGUCUCAAAACUCUUCCCUCGUCAAACUGAUAGGAUGGGCACAAUUUUUUUUCAGAAAUCAGGGUAGCGACGACGAAAAAGUGCGACAAAAAAUCACUAUGAUGGCACGUGGCUCAAAAGACUCAGAAAAGCCUAAAAAUAGGAUAGGCAAACAAGAGUUAGGGUUGGUUUCGGACCCCACCCUCAAGGGCCACGAAAUUCCCCCCUCUUCCUCCAUAUAUACAGCCCUUAGGGCGUCAUUUAGACUUUGGGUUUUGUUUAGAUUAAAAGUUCGCCAUAGCUGCAACUUCGCGUACUUCGUUUGUGUCCAACGACCAGACCAAGACGUCACAGAACCCCACCUUGAUCAAUAAAGCUUUCAUCUUAUAUUCGCAAUAUCCUGAUUGCAAUCUCAGUUUCUUGCUUGUUCUUCGUUUGCUCACAGGAAACAGACCCUCGUGGUCAGGUUGAUCGUGCUCCGGCGUGGUCAAUAACCCUCGGAAGUUGGUUUAGCGAUUGCUAAGGCGCGACGUCUCGCACGUUCGUAGUCGGAUCGUCAAGGUCGACUCCCACAGAAAACGAUAGCCGCCAUCUCAUCGAAACGACUCCCAUAGAGGUAGCCAGGCUCUUAGCAGCUAGCUUUAUUAUUGAAGUGUUUCACCCUGAGUGGCUUGCCAAUCCGGUGCUGGUCCUCAAGAAAAACGGCACCUGACGCAUGUGUGUGGAUUACACAGAUCUUAAUAAGGCUUGUCCAGUAGAUCCUUUUGCCCUCCCCCGUAUUGAUCAAAUUAUUGAUGCUACGGCGGGUUGUGAGCGUCUAAGUUUUUUGGAUGUGUAUUCUGGCUAUCAUCAGAUCAAAAUGGCAGUUAAGGACCAGGAGAAGACAGCAUUUAUAACUCCCUUUGGAGCCUUUUGCUAUGUGUCUAUGCCCUUCGGGCUCAAGAGUGCCCAGGCAACUUACCAACGGUGUGUACAAAAUUGUCUUCACAAGAAGAUUGGCCGUAAUGUACAUGCUUACGUGGAUGACAUCGUGGUUAAAUCCAGCGAGAAGGAGACUCUGAUUGAUGAUUUGAAAGAAACCUUUGAUAAUCUGAGAACAUACAAGAUGAUGGUUAAUCCGGAAAAGUGUGUUUUUGGUGUACCAGCAGGCAAGCUAUUGGGUUUUAUAGUGUCCAAAAGGGGAAUUGAGGCUAAUCCAGAGAAGAUCACAGCUAUCACCUCCCUGGCUAAACCGAAGUGUAUCAACGAUGUUCAACGCCUGGCAGGCAGGAUUGCUGCGCUAAGCCGGUUUAUCAGUCGCCUCGGUGAGAAGGCAAUCCCUUUGUAUCAGAUGUUGAAAAAGACGGAUCAGUUUGUCUGGAGUUCUGCUGCUGAUGAAGCGUUUGAGGACUUAAAGCGCCAAUUGGCCAAUCCGCCUGUGCUCGCCGCUCCCGUUGACAAGGAGCCAUUACUGCUAUAUGUUGCUGCUAAUGUUCGGGCGUUCAGUGUAGCUAUUGUGGUGGAGCGAAAGGAGGCAGGUAAGGAGCAUCCGGUUCAACGUCCGAUUUAUUACAUCAGCGAGGUGCUCAUUGAGUCCAAGCAAAGGUAUCCACAUUGGCAGAAGCUGGUGUAUGGAGUCUUUAUGGCAAGCCGGAACCUUAAACAAUAUUUCCAAGGGCACUCAAUUACGGUGGUCAGUUCUGCUCCUUUGGGAGAUAUCAUCCAGAACCGGGAAGCAACUGGCCGGAUUGCAAAGUGGGCCAUAGAGCUGGGGCCGUAUGAUUUGAAGUAUGUGCCUCGGACAGCGAUUAAGUCUCAAGCACUUGUUGAUUUCAUCAAUGAUUGGACAGAAAUGCAAGCACCUGAAGAAAGCCGGAUCAUACAUAUUGGACCAUCCAUUUUGACGGAUCCAGGCAGCUGGAAGGCUCGGGGGCUGGAGUCGUAUUAACUUCCCCAUGAGGUGAUAAGUUUUGUUAUGUUCUCCAUUUAAUGUUCCCUUGUACUAACAAUGCAGCUGAGUAUGAAGCCUUGCUCCAUGGUCUCCGGAUGGCUAAGGAGAUGAAUCUAAGUCGAGUUAAGUGCUUCGGUGACUCAGACCUUGUGGCCCAGCAACUGUCUGGCACUUGGGACUCCAAGGACCCACUCAUGGCAGCAUAUCGUCGUGAGGUGGAUACUGUCGCAGGUUAUUUCAAAGGUUAUCAGGUGGAUCACGUGGACCGGCGGAAAAAUUAAGCGGCAGACGCUUUAAGCCGGCUGGGCUCUCAGCGCAAACCGGUCCCACCCAAUGUUUUUUUGGAUGUGCUGCACAACCCGUCGGUCAAGAUCCCUGGUGAAGAGGAUUUGGCUAUUCCUGAUCCGGAGGCUCGAUUGGUGGUGGCUCUUCAUGUUAUUCCGGAUUGGACGCUUCCCUACCUGGCGUACAAGAACCGGGGUGAGUUGCCAGAGGAUGAAAUUCUAGCAAGGCAGAUAAUCCGGCGAUCCAAGUCCAUGACUAUCAUCAACGGCGAGUUGCAUCAUUGCAGUAUAUCAGGGGCUUUCUAACGCUGUGUGUCUCCUGAAGAAGGCCGUGAAAUCUUGCGUGAGAUCCACGAAGGAGAUUGUGGUCACCACGCCGGUUCAAAGUCUCUGGUGGCUAAAGCGUUUCGCCAUGGUUUUUAUUGGUUAACUGCUCAUGCUGAUGCGGAGGAUCUGGUCAGAUGGUGUGAUGGUUGCCAAAGGUUUUCAAGGCGUGCUCAUGUACCGGCUCAAGAAUUGAGAAUGAUUCUGAUUACUUGGCCGUUUGUGACUUGGGGGCUGGAUAGGGUUGGGCCUUUCAAAAGGUCCAAAGAUAAGAAGACCCACCUCCUGGUGGCGGUUGACAAGUUUACAAAGUGGGUGGAGGCAGAACCUGUUAGCAAGUGUGAUGCGGCCACGGCGGUUCAGUUCAUCAAAAAGGUGAUUUUCCGGUUUGGCUUUCCGCACAGUAUUAUCACAGAUAAUGGUACCAAUUUAUCCAAAGGUGCUAUGAAGGAGUUCUGCGAACGAGAGCACAUCCGGCUCGACGUUUCAUCAGUGGCACAUCCACAGUCUAAUGGUCAAGUAGAAAGAGCUAAUCAAGAGAUAUUGAGAGGCAUCAAGCCCCGGCUCAUGGUUCCUUUGCAGAGAACGCCGGGUUGUUGGGUAGAAGAAUUACCAUCUGUGCUAUGGAGUAUCAAUACAACACCCAACAGAUCAAUAGGAUACACACUAUUCUUCAUGGUUUAUGGAGCAGAGGCGGUUCUCCCUAGUGAUAUCUGGCAUGAUUCACCUCGUGUCACAGCUUAUAUUGAAGCGGACAACGAGACAGCACGGCAAGACGCUUUGGACCGGUUGGAUGGAGAGCGUGACAUCGCAGCCGCCCGAUCGGUGAUUUACGAGCAGGAUCUUCGUUGUUAUCAUAGUCGUCGGGUCAGAACCAGAACCUUUCAGGAAGGAGAUUUGGUGCUUCGGCUCAUCCAAGAUCAGGCUAACAUGCAUAAGCUAUCCCCACCUUGGGAGGGGCCUUUCGUGGUCAGCAAGAAUCUGCACAACGGGUCGUACUAUCUGAUCGAUAUUCGAGAGCAUAAGGACUCACGUACAUCAGAGGAGGAGACUAACAGGUCGUGGAAUAUAGCUCAUCUUCGACCUUACUACACCUGAGCCAUUGGCUAUACUUAUGUACAUAUUACGACAAUGUAUAUAUUAUGAUUAAAUAUAAUAAACCGGAACCUCAGCUAAAGCAGGGUAUCUGUUCUUUUACAUCAUGUGAGGUUACACGGAGUUGCUCUAAAGCGGCCUCCGGUUUACCCCUUGAGUUCGCUUUGCUAAAAGCAUCGUGUUAUAUCACUUGGAGGAUUGGUCGUGUCCGAACCAAUACCAUGCCUCUUGAUAGGCGAAAGCCACUAGAUCACUUGGGGACUUGGUCAUGUCUGAACCAGUCAUGCCUCUUGGUCGGCCUAAGGCCACAGAAUCACUUGGGGGCUUGGUCGAACCCGAACCAUGACCACGCCAUUUGGUCGGCAUAAAUGCCACGAUUUCAUCUGGGGACCUGGCUGACUAGAACCAUAGUUACACCUAACGGGAACUUGGUCAUGUUUAGCCAUGGUAACGCAAUUUGAUCAGUUUAAAUAAAACUUUUUCUUUUUGCUUCACACUUUUCUUUGAAGGGGUUUUUUUGCUUUUCAUUGUGUUUCUUAAACCGACAAAAAAAUUUCAAUUGACGGAACACAGUUCACGUCAAUCCGGAGACUAUCUGACCGGUUUGAUCCAUGUUGUUAACAUCCUCUUAUGGAGUAACACGGUACGGUUUACAAUGGUAAACCAGCAUCAUAUAUAUAUAUGCAGGAGCUGUCAUCUCCUCCAAAUAGUGUGGGUUUACAAAACUCCGCUUCAAGAUUGGCUAAGCCAACUUCACGAUCAAUGACGGCAGGUAUUAUGUAUCUCAAAAAUUUGGUCAUAUACUUAAAAUUUUGUUUGAUUUCAUAUAUGCAGACAUCAUAUUCCGCCUGACGGUACAACCACGGUGGCACUUGAUGAAUUUUUCAUUUCAGAAAGUAUUUGGAAAGUUCAUGACCACAGGAAGAGCAAAUUAUGCACGAAGGCAUAUCAACAUCAAAGGUAUCAGCUAGCCUAUUACAAGGCAACAUGGUGCCCAUAAAUAAUGUAAUUGUUUUUCGCGAAGAAGAGGCAGUUUUUAAACCAGCUUCCGGUUCAAGCUUGGUCACCAGCCUGGCCUGAUGGUUGUGGGUCAUCCUGCGCCGCUUCAGCCUCCGUGUCCCUACCCAGUGGAUGGGAAUCCACAGUUGUCCCAUUAAUGCUUGAAAAACAGCUUCAUCGUCGAUCAGCAAGGACGGGUUAAUAUCGGGAGCGUAAGUAUGCUUAUGGAUUGGAGGAAUCAGAUUUUCCGAUUCAUGGAUUGGCGAAGCUAUUCGCUUGUUCUGACUGUCGUAUUGCGCUUGAUAACGAGACAAGUCUGCUUCCUCAGCCAACUGACAAGCUAGUGGACGUGCCUCCCGGUUUAUCGCUCGUAGAUCCGCUUCACCAAAUUCUGAUCCGUCUUCCUUCAAGCUGGGAUAGCCCUAAGCCGCUUCAACAGGAUCAAAAUCCGGCACCCAGGCUUUUGCCCGGAUUAAAGCAUUGAUUGCGCCGGUUCGAGCAGCAGAUUUUUUUAGCUCUUCAAUCUGGGAAGGAAGCACCGACAGUUUCAUCAGAGUAUCUUGAAUCAAAGUAGGCACCGGUUUGUUAUGAGAGGCGGUACAGAUGAUCCGCUGGGCACUAGUAUACAGUUGUUCAACCAAUGUAUAGGCGGAUUUUAGCUUCUUCCGUACAUCUGACCCCAAGUGACCAAUGCGUGUCCCUGAAAUACCAUAAAGGGUUAAUAAACCGGCGACUUUGUCAGAAGGCAGAGCCAAUUCAGUAGGAAAACUGGCUUACCAAAGAUAGCAGCAGUCAUAGCAUGCACGUGGCGCUUUAUGCUGGUCAGUUCAUCUGCCACUGGUUUUAGUGCAGCCUCAGCAUCCUCUGCUCGUUUGAUCAAAGCGGAUUUCUCAGUGGCCCAGUCCGCCUGUUUCUUCUUGAAGUUGUCCUUAAGUUGUUCCAUGGCGCUUAAAGCACUGGCCAAUUCCUCUUUUGCUUUGGAGGUUUCAGCUUGUUGGGUUUUCAGGGCUUCUUGAAGAUCGAUGACUUGGUUCUCUUUCCUCUUCAGCUCCGCCUGCAUGCAUACAGGUAUAUGUUUCAACAAAUUGGUAGAAGGAUUCAAGUACCAACCACAUAACAAGUUAUGCGCUUAGUACUUGGUGGCUAAUGCAUAUUUGAUCUAAAGCGGCCUCCGGUUUACUCCUUCAUCUUUCGAUUGUUUACAAAGUCCCAAGAUCAAUACAAGUAUUCAACUUGGCACUUGGGGGCUAAUGGCUAUUUGAUCUUCAUGUUUCAAUUAUUUACAAAGUCCCAAGAUCAAUACAAGUAUUCAACUUGGCACUUGGGGGCUAAUGGCUAUUUGAUCAUAUAUAUUCUGAUAAGGCAGUCUCAGUUACUUAAAGUACCGGUUUAACUACGCUAAAGUUGAACCGGCCCUUGGGGGCUACAUCAGCAAAAUUCAAAGCAACAAGAUUGAUAUUAUUUAAGUCUCGGUUUGAAAGAAUAUUCUAAACCGACCCUUGGGGGCCAGGAGAGUCAGGAAUGGAAGCAUACAAGCAGGAAGGAGCAUAUGGAAAUUACCUCAUAUUUGUCUUUCAUCAUAUUAACCAGACCGGCUUCAUAGUCACGACUGGUAUACAGCCGGUUCAGAUAGCCGGAAUGGAUAUCUUGGGCGUUCAGAGCAGAGUAAGUCGUCAGAUCAGCGUUCCACUUGCCUUUACCAAAGGCAGCAAGUUCUUCCUUGGCAGAAUGCUUGGAUAAAGCGACAUGAUUGUUUGGCUCAGUAUGGCCAGUACCAGUAAUGACAACCUCAUCAUCUUUGGUACCGCCGGGUUGCAUUGGAGUUGUUGGCUUGUCAGUAGGCUUUGCUGGACCGGUGGAGCUUUCAAUCCGGAUGGAACCUGUAGGCUGAUGGGUAGGACCUGAGGUGUCAGUAGGUCUAUCUUCUGCAAUAAGAUCGUCAUCUUGCUGCGGUGGAUCGUUGGGAAUAUCCUCAGGAAUAGCCGCUUCAACAUUGGGUGUCUUGUCCGCUUCAAGAAUGAUGUCGUCUUCGGCCGCUUUGUCCAGGCGGGCCUUCUUGCUUGGCCUAGGUUUGGCCCUAAGAAGAAUAACAAAAUCAAAUACAGAAUAUGUUCUAAGGCAAUGUACUGCAAACGUCACAAUAAGUAUAGCUUACCAAGCACCAUUUUGAGCGGUGGGAGCUGAGUAGCCGAUGAUUCGCCAGAAGAUGAGUGGGAGGUAACCUGAUAAUCGGAGUCAGACGGAUUAAGAGGUUGACGAAAGCAGCCUGCUUUAGGACAAGCACUGUCAAACAGAUUAGAGACCUCGGAAUGGCGUUUCCGAACCGGACUGUUCGGUAAACCGGCGGAGGUAACUACUUGGCCGCUGUGCCGGGUGGUGCGGCGAGCUUCAUUUUGUUGGGUCUUCAUAAGAAGUUUAGGAUCCAAAUAAGCAAGAGGAUGAGAAAAUUUAACUUUCCGGUUUGCCUGACGGAUUUUUUGUGAAGGCAAAGUUUCUGAAUCGGAAGAGAGAAUAGUUACCUCUGCGACAUCCGCGUGGCUGGCUUCGGCAUCAUCAUGACAAAUAUCAUCAUCAAUAAGACAGAUGAAAAAUAAACCAAGUGAGUCAAGCUCUACCUCAAAGUCCGGAUUAUCCACCUCAUUGUCAGGGGCCGGAUUAGAAGAUGAAGUGGUUCUUUUCUUAUGGGCAGUCUUCUUUACAGCUUUAGUUUUCUGCCGGGUUGCUCUUUUCGGUUUGUCUGGUUUCUCUGGUUUCUCCUGCGGCAGUUUUUUGCUCCAAAACGGAUCAUCGCCCUGAUCAUGCAGACACUGAUAUUAAAAACAAUGACUAGACAUAUCAAUAACAGAUUCAGCAAAGAGAAAAAUCAAAGUCUUACAGCUGGCGGCUUGUUGGUGGCACAGAAGGGAAGUAGGCCGGUUCUGGCACAGAUGUGUUCCGGUUCAUUCAGUAUCUUACGUACAACCUCUGUGAUUUCUUCACCGGAGAGCUGGAGUCUUGAGUGUCGCAGUGGGUCAUCAACACGAUCAGUAUAUUGGCACAUCAAACCGGAGCGCAGGCUAAGAGGCAGUAUGCUCCAUAAUAUCCAACAGCGAGCAAGGUCAACCCCUGUUAAGCCGUUGGCCAUAAAAGAUCUGAGCUUUGAUAGCUGAGGAGCAUAUUUACUUCUCUCCUGUGCAGUCAAUCUUUGUGGAGAAGGGUGUGUGUUGCUAAGCCGCUCCGAUCGAAAGCCAGGCAAGGGAUUCUCACCAGCAGGGGAGGUGUCCUUGCAGUAGAACCAUGUUUGAUUCCAUUCUUUAGGGUGGCUAUGCAGUUUGGCGUGAGGGUAUGUGACCUCUUUCCUUUUCUGAAUCGCCACACCACCCAACUCCGUAUUGGAGCCGUCAGUAAAUUCAGUACGACGGUUUAGAUGGAAUAGGUCUCUGAACAGUUCCACUGCGGGCUCCUCUUAAAAGAACGCUUCACAGAGUACUUGGAAGUGACACAUAUUUGUAACAGAGUUGGGGUCGGUAUCUUGUGGAUGGAGCUGGAAAUCGGCUAAGACAUCCCGAUAAAAUUUAGAACCGGGCGGCUUAAAGCCCCGGGCUAAGUGAUCUACGAAAACAACAACCUCUCCUUCUCGAGGUGUAGGAGGGCAUUCUUUGCUAGGAGCCCUCCAAUGGAUUGUAUCCUUGCUGCCUAAAGCACCAAUCAGGACUAAAUCAUCCAGUUCAGCCUCGGUGACGCGAGAAGGAACCCAAUUGCACUCAUACACUUGCUUGGCCAUGACGGAAUCUACAAGGUAAAAGACCCUGGUUCAAAAAUGCAUUGAUUAAAAUGCACUGGUAUGUACAAUGUUAAACCGGAAACAGCCCUAUCUAAACCGGAGUUUCAUGAAGCAACCUACAUCUGGCGGUUCAACAAGGGGACUAAUGGCAUAUACUGGUUUGGAAAAUUUUCUAUAAGGUUAAACCGCCUGACCUAAACAUUGAAGCAAUUGAGAUUGCAGAUGGUUAAGUAUGCAGAAACAGGUUUCACAUGAUCUUGUUACAGCAUUGGAUCUGAAGAAAGUUCAGAAAAUAAGAAAAAUAGUCGAAGAUUUAAAAGCAGAGCGGAAGUGAAUCAAUGGGCAGAUAUAUAGAUGAGAUCUAUGGACUUGAGCAGGAAACUACAGGCGGAUGCUAAAAGCUACUGCUACUCAGAGCAGGGUUCCACAGAUCUAUCCAGGAGUCUGGGUACGAGCAUGAACAAGUGAUGAACACGCCAAGAACACGAAACCCUAGAACAGAUCCAUGUUAGGAAGAACAGAAGGCUUACCAGAAUCAAGGAAGAUGCGGAAAGCUACCGCAGUGCUCUGGUGCGUUCAGGUUGAUGCAGCGGCCCGAGAAGAUGCAGAGGUUAACGGCGGCGGCGGAGCUCCGAGGCUAGCGACGCGAGGAGGAUGAAAAGAAAGGGGACGAAGGGGAGAAAGGAAAUGACCCUUCGGUCCUAUUUAUAAGGCAACAGACAUGUGUCAGGCGCGUGAAUCAAGGAACCACAAAUCUUGGAAGCAGAGCUGUCGCCUCGGUCAUUGCGAAUCUAUUAAAUAAGAAGAUAUCAUGGAUGUUUUUCUUUAUGACAGAUGACGUCACGCCGGUUUACAGCAACCAGAGAAGAUGACGUCACGGCGGUUCAACAACUACAAGAAGAUGUUGAAGACGAAUAUUUUUUGCUAAGAAUUGACAUGAACCAGUUCAAAUCAAUCUGGGGCCUAAUGUUGGGGAUAUUACUACUGGGCAUAAACCGGCCUAUCUGGGCCGGGUUAACGUCAUCAGUAGUUCAAGGGUGUUAAAACCCAAGGAGGAAGAUAAGGGCCCAAGGCCUGUAGUCCGUUUAAGACCUGUAGCCGUAAACUGGCCUGGCAUGUAAACUUGUAUUGUAAGCUAGGAAUAAGGAGAGACCAACCCGGAUACAAGUAUGAACCGGUGUUGGGACCCUGUGGACCGACGGGCAUCACCCGUUUAUAUAAGCGGACGACCCGGUGGCGGUUCAGGGACAACAGACAACAACUCGAGACAUAGGCGAAGCUUGUUUGCUCCCUAGUCAUCGAAACCCCAUCAAUUCCAUCACAACUAGACGUAGGCUUUUACCUUCCUUGAAGGGGCCGAACUAGUAUAAACUCUCUUGCGUCCUUGUGUCCGCUUUAACCCCUUCAAGCUAACCCGUCGCGAUGGCUCCACGACUAAGUCCUUUCUCUAGGACAUCUGCCGUGACAAAACCACGACAAUUACGAAACGAGUAAAGAGACUUGCCGGUAACGAGAUUGAACUAGGUAUUGAGAUACCGACGAUCGAAUCUCGGGCAAGUAACAUACCGAUGACAAAGGGAACAACGUAUGUUGUUAUGCGGUCUGACCGAUAAAGAUCUUCGUAGAAUAUGUGGGAGCCAAUAUGAGCAUCCAGGUUCCGCUAUUGGUUAUUGAUCGGAGACAUGUCUCGGUCAUGUCUACAUUGUUCUUGAACCCGUAGGGUCCGCAAGCUUAAGGUUUCAAUGACAGUUAUAUUAUGAGUUUAUGAGUUUUUAUGUACCGAAGUUAGUUCGGAGUCCCGGAUAUGAUCACGGACAUAACGAGGAGUCUCGAAAUGGUCGAGACAUAAAGAUUGAUAUAUUGGACGGCUAUAUUCGGACACCGGAAGUGUUCCGGGUGAUUUCGGAGAAAACCGGAGUACCAAAGGGUUACCNNNNNNNNNNNNNNNNNNNNNNNNNNNNNNNNNNNNNNNNNNNNNNNNNNNNNNNNNNNNNNNNNNNNNNNNNNNNNNNNNNNNNNNNNNNNNNNNNNNNNNNNNNNNNNNNNNNNNNNNNNNNNNNNNNNNNNNNNNNNNNNNNNNNNNNNNNNNNNNNNNNNNNNNNNNNNNNNNNNNNNNNNNNNNNNNNNNNNNNNNNNNNNNNNNNNNNNNNNNNNNNNNNNNNNNNNNNNNNNNNNNNNNNNNNNNNNNNNNNNNNNNNNNNNNNNNNNNNNNNNNNNNNNNNNNNNNNNNNNNNNNNNNNNNNNNNNNNNNNNNNNNNNNNNNNNNNNNNNNNNNNNNNNNNNNNNNNNNNNNNNNNNNNNNNNNNNNNNNNNNNNNNNNNNNNNNNNNNNNNNNNNNNNNNNNNNNCCUUAUGGGCCUUAGUGGAGAGAGAGAAGGGCAGCCAGGGUGGGACGCGCGCCCCCUCCCCCCUGGUCCUAAUUGGACUAGGAGAGGGGGGGCGGCGCCCCCCUUUCCUUCUCCGUCCCCACUUCCUUCCCCCUCCUAGUAGGAGUCCUACUCCUACUAGGAGGAGUCCUACUCCUACUAGGAGGAGGACUCCUCCUUGGCGCGCCUAUAGGGCCGGCUGGCCUCCUCCCCUUGCUCCUUUAUAUACGGGGGCAGGGUGCACCCCUAGACACACAAAGUUGAUCCACGUGAUCAUUUUCUUUGCCGUGUGCGGUGCCCCCUUCCACCAUAAUCCUCGAUAACAUUGUAGCGGUGCUUAGGCGAAGCCCUGCAACGGUAGAACAUCAAGAUCGUCACCACGCCGUCGUGCUGACGGAACUCUACCCCGACACUUUGCUGGAUCGGAGUCCGGGGAUCGUCAUCGAGCUGAACGUGUGCUAAAACUCGGAGGUGCCGUAGUUUCGGUGCUUGAUCGGUCGGGCCAUGAAGCCGUACGACUACAUCAACCGCGUUGUGCUAACGCGUCCGCUGUCGGUCUACAAGGGUACGUAGAUCACACUCUCCCCUCUCGUUGCUAUGCAUCACCAUGAUCUUGCGUGUGCGUAGGAAUUUUUUUGAAAUUACUACGUUCCCCAACAGAUUCCUCCUCUUCCGAAUUCAUUUUUUAAUGUUGAUGAAUUAUCCCUUUUAAUUUUUUGGUUAUGGUACUCUUUCACUGCUUGUGAUGGAUUUGAUCGUGAUUUUGGCAUGGAUGGAUAUGAGAUCUCUCCUUCUGCUCCUUCCAAUAUGUCAAAUUGAUUUUCUGUAGCUGAGUUGAUCUUCUCAUCUGGCGGGCUCAAGCUCCUCGUGGUCAUUCGAGCUGACCCCCUCGCCUUGAUAGGUGAGAUUGAUACUGAAAUUGCCAUGCUUAUUUUUGUUUUUACCUCACUGAAGACAUAAGGAGGUUUAACCAAAGAAGUCUCCGAGUUGGUUCUCGGGAGUAAUUAGCACUUACAAAUAUGUAUCUCUAAUUGAGUGCCACCGAAUAUUUUUCCUGGUACUAACCUAAUGAUCAUAUAUGGUCUUGUUUUAGGAUCCCCCAGCAGAUGAACCAGAGGUACUUGCAGGAAUUCCUCUCAUAUUUGGACUGUGCUAAGCUAUUCAAAUUUGACUUUCAGGAUUACAUUCAUCAUUUUGGAUGUACCGCGCCUGGUGAUAAAGGAAAAGGAACUGUAUUGUUAUUCUUCAUGCCCAAACAAUUAGAGUUUCUCAUCUCCUUGAGGGUAAUCAAUUCUGCGCCGAGAUAAUAUGGCCUUUCUUUCCCUCUAAAAUUAGCGAAAAUCACAUAUUUAGUGUGUCUGCAGGCAGCCAACAUUCAUCUCACAGAGCACGAGUUUAAUAACAAGAAUGUGCCAAAUCUGCAAGCACAUUUUGUAAGUGCAUCUUUUACAAUAUAGUGAAGUGUUCCAAUCCAGUAUUUAUUUCUUUCCUUUUUAGUUGGUAAUCCACCUUUUACAUCCUUUACAAUAUGUUGACAAGUUACAACUGAAUUUAUUGAGCAGGAGAAAAUCGUUGGCGAUAGCGACUUCCUACAUCAGUCGGCUCAACCAGCCUAUACAUUCUACAUUCCACCAUGCGACUCACACGCCAUGAAAGACAUCUUUAGUGUUCAUGGUCUCAAUUUGAAGGUAAAAUGCUUCUUUAAGGUUUUUGUGGGAUCUCUGUAUUUUUUUUAUGUUUUGCUGGUUUACAAGUCACAGUUAUUUUGGAUAGCAUGUAGAAGCAACCUUGUCUUUUUGUUAAUAUUUCGGUGAGCAUCUCCCAGAAUUACUUGGCCUAUUGUAUUUUCAUCACCGCAAAUAUUUUUGUUUCAUGAAAAGGUUCUCCUGUUUAUCUUGUGUAAACUAACUUCACAUAACAAAUUUGUUUUUAAUGUCCAAUUCACUAUGAUUUGCCAGGACGUAGGUGCAUCAUUUUACUUUAGCAACCCUCCAAAAGUGGAAAUUGGCCUGGAGUGCAGAGUUAUAUGAGGAAAAUGUGUUAUAACAGAAUUGCUGGUUCUAGACAGAGGCGAAAGAGGCAUUGCAUCACUGCUGCAAAUCCUUAAUUAUAACAGGUAGUUUGCUAGAUUAGAGAGAGCCAGAUUCCUUCGGUUGUUUGUUAUGACACAAAUACAAAAGCUGAAAUGAUUUAAUAUAUGGACCAAAUCAAGGACAUAGUUCAGCGGAUGGGAUAAAGCCAUAGAAAGUUACAUAUACAAGUAAUUGUUUCCAAUCUUUUUACGAGCAUUAACCUGAGUUAAUAUGGAAAGUGCUCGCCUAUGUGAUUACCAUCUUUUUUCCUCAUCUCCUUUCUUUAACAUGUUACAAUUGUAAAUUUGAAAGGAAAUUGAUCUUUUUAACUCUUCUUCGAGAACAGGUGGCCUUGAAUUUGGUAAACCUUGCAUGCGUGUCCCUAUUUAUUUUGAAAUUUUGGGCAAACUCUGUAUGGUUUUCUGUUGGACAACAUCGACGAGAAGGCAAGAUGCUAAAGUAUUUAAGGUUUGCGCAUUACCUCCUUUUGAUUUAGGUGGAAAUUAGUCCAUGGACCAAUUCUUUCUUUUGAUGUUUUAUUUUUGUUUUUCUAUUGUACCCUAGGAACUAGCAUAUUUUUUUACAGGAUUGAUCGAUUUGUUGAUUUAUUUGUUUUAUUUUGUUCCUGUAGUUGUAGUCUAAAGUGUAUAACUAGAAUGCUUCAUUUAAUUACAAGGUCAAUUCUAAAAAAAAGUAAUUACAAGGUCAAAGUUUACACGUGCAGACAAAACACUGAAUCUAUACUAGCCUACUUGUACACCCAGCCUAAAUUUCCUGGUAUAUUUGCAUAUGUUUCUUGCUUUCUUAGUGCUUUACAUCAUUGAAUGUUAUAUCAGUUUUCUUCUCUUGUUUCUCUCUACAAUAUAGUGUAUGAAGGUGAUAAGCUGGUAGAUGGCUGGAAUACCCUUUGACUUGGUUCUAAAUCUUAGAUGACCGCUGGUCAAUAUUUAUAUGGUUUAACAUCCCAAUGAGUCUUGUUCUCAUCUAGAUUGUUGUAUUCUCUGAUAAUGAGUUGAUCCAAGAAUUAACAUGAUAUUUUAUCUUCGUAUAGGAGAAGAGAAAUUCAAAAAAAAAAAUGGUUAAUGAAGAGGAAUCCAGUGCCAUGUCAUGUGGAUCUCAAGAGCUAAAAUGAAAUAUGUGUCAGCCUCUCAUGCCUAGACUAAUUAUCCUGAUGGUCCAGUCCAUUUGGAAAAUCCUCAUUGGCAUCAUGGUUAUGAAUAUGCUUGGUGGAAAUUAUGAUGUUAUAUUAAAAUUUUGCUUUAAUAAAAGGUGGUCGGGUGUGAGAACAUGCAUGUAUAGCUCAGGCUCCACGUUGUUUCCUGAUUAACAAAGUUAUGAUUUUUCACUACCGAACAACAACCUAUCUAAGAAAGUAAUCCUACGUUUGGUUAGAAUAUUUUUGUGAAAGAUGUAAUAUGUGUUAGUCUUGAGGUGCGUUGUACGUGCACGCUUACUAGUUAUAUUAACUCUUCUCAUGUCAGCGGAGCUUAAACCAUCUUUUAGUGCUUAGUUGUGUUUGAGAAGGAAAUUGUUUGCUGGCAUCUUUUUGGAGACGUGAACUUCUAGUUGUCUAUAGUCCUUGUACGUGUAUAUAUAUACAUAUCAUUUAACCGUGGCCAGUGAUGUGCAGUUCAGAACGCAAGAAAAUGAACUAUGGUCUGAAGUUCUUUGGAAAUCCACCAUGAUGAUGUUUUUUGUGUUGUGUUUGCGUAUCAUUGCACUAAUCUACUUUUUUUCAACCAAGGGGCUGUAAGCAAUAGAUGGUCUGGUUUGCCAGUUAACAAGUUCUUAUUAGGUAAUUGUGCUUGUGUACCACGAUGAGAAAUGGGUCAAGUAAUUUUAGUGUCUUUUCCUUUUGGAUGAAGAAUCUUUGCUCCAUGAAGUGUAUGUGUAUACAUCAUGGUUGCUUCAGAUUUUGAGUUUGAGCUAAGUUCCUUGCUACUUUUGAUUUUGAGUUUCGGCCCAAUGGCUGGCCUUUCUGCUUGGGCUGGCGAGAGAAGCUGUGGUCAGGCCCAUGACAGGUCCAGCUGAACAAGUCUCGCAGCAAUCAGCUGGAAUUGCCAAAAAAAAAAAAUUCAGCCAGACGAAGGAAGAGGGAUGAGGUCCGCUUGGUAUCCUCGAAAUAGCCGUCGUCCUGAUCGUCCUGGUAUCCUUGGAAGAUAGGAUUUUUAGGACCCGAGUGUCUAGACACCCUCUUAUCAGCACCGUGCGUUCAGAAAUGGUUUCCUCGAGAUUUGUACCGUGUCCUCAAGCAGGAAUCUGAUUAGCAGGGCUAAGCGGCGCGAGGCUCGUAACAUUUGAAGCAAAUAUGACCUAGCCUAGCACUGUUCCUUCUGAAAAGAAUCUUAGCUAGCUGCAGUUUAUAGGCUAGAUGUGACAAUACAACUUUACCAGAUACGUAGCAAACUUGGAAUAAGAAAAAGCGUGGGCUGAGGACCUGCAUGAAAUCUUACUCAGACAACAAUAAUUUUUAAUUUGCAGCUGGACACUUGUCGGAGGACGGAAUACAUGAUUCUUUUUCAUUGUAUAAUAAUGAAAGAUAGCUCAAAAUGCAUCUCGUACCACUGCUACUGGAGGCUAUCAUGUCUGACUGUGUACCUGUCUCACUUGUUCAUGGCUCAACUUUAGCACAGUACACUACCUGUGCGGCCGAUCAUUGACAAUCUGCAUGACUAAACGUUUCAAACCAGGAACUAUGGGGCGCAUCUAGAUCAAGCAAAACAUGUACCUGAUACAUACAAUGUACGUUGACCCUCCGUAAGCUUGACUGUACCAGGUACAAACAGUGGACCCGUGCAUACAUGUAGCAGGUUCCCCAUUCACACCCAACGCUGAUGAAGCAAGAAGGUAAAAAUCUUGAUAUAAAACUGCCACUGAUGUGAAACCCCGACACCCAGCAUGCACCUGUCUAUGUGAUGUCUCUUCAACUACACCCGGCCUGACCUGCUGCCCGGGCUACCAUCCUGCUGUCCGUGACAACCUACCAUGCCUACUCAGUCUGCUGCAGCCUAGGACCGGCCCCUGCUUUACUCUGCAAAUUCAAUGCUUAAUUCACAUGACAACGCAAGUGGCCUGGUGCUGUAUAGGCCUGGGCACGAAUCUUUAAAGCACUGAACGCACCGGAUAAGGGGGUGUCGGGACACUUGGGUGCUAUGGCAUCUUUUCGAUCCUUGGAAUACUGCAUGGAGCUGUUAAUGCAUUUCUUCAAGUUUUAUAGCACUCGCAUCGACAAUGUUGAGUAUGCUGAAGGGCAGGGUGCGACGUGGAUGGAUCUGCUGAACGCAAGCUCGCUUGGGCAGUUAUAGAAAAUCUAGGAACUAUGUUUUGAAGCUUCAAAAUUUUCUAUUAAAAAAUAGCACUCACGUACAUAGGGUAGUAUAGCAUUUAUGUUCAACUUGUCAUGAUAAAAUUUGCUAAUUUGUGUUUUUACAAAAUUUAUAUACAUAAUUUCUAUCGAGAAUUUUGACUUUUGUAAGUUUGGUAAUUUUCUCUCGUCAUCUGCAAAGUUUGCUCACCCAGCUUGGGUCCAAUAUCUGAAAUCCUUUCCCAGAGAAGGUUCAGAUGUUCGGCAGAGUAUGAGGGCUUAUCCUGAACUAUGAUUUUGUGCCGCUCAAAAGACAGGAUAGCUGCUUGUGCAUGGCUAACUAACCUUGUGAACUGAACUAGGAUUAUAAAUUGUAACUAACCUUGUAAAGUGAACUAGUACUGCAUGUUAGGUAUUGUUGUUACUGCAGCAAAUUUUUACAUUUUGCAGUACUUACUGGUGUAGGAGAAAACUUACUUGGCAUUGGUCGGCAGGGAAGGUGCGUGCUUGAGGAGCCAAUUGGGGGGGGAGGGGCGUUGUAGCGGCUACUUGGCGACCCGAGUUACCGGCUGCCAUGAGCGGUGCUCUUCCGAUGUGGGCUUGUCAUCGGGCAGGAGUUUCACAUGGUCCUCCUGCCCGGGACGGGCUGCUGCUCAUGUAAGUCCUUGCGCAUGGUCACCCUGGAGUCGGGGUGCUCGUUUCUGGGUCCCAUCCAUCAAGCCAAGGUAGGUGUUUGUGGUUCGGUGGGGAGGCAUCCUCACACUAUGGCGUCGGUGAAGGUCGGUGGUAGUGGUGGGUGGGGCUUCGUGGAGCCGGCCGCAGGUGGAUCGGUGCCUCUGGCCGUGGACUUGGUGUCGUUUGAGUUGUUGGCUCCGCGACUGCAAUCGGCAGUUACUAGGUCAUGUUAAUCCGGUUCACCGGGAUUUGUGGGGACUGUAGGCGUGGACGCCUCUAUGGUGGUGGCGCUGACCCUUGCUUUGUGGCUGAUGCUGGGCUUUUCCUGUCGCGGUUAGUGCACCAUGAAGCACGCGCUUGGCGAUGUCUCGGGGUUUGGAUGCCGGGGCGACGACCCUGGAUGGCGGUUCACAUGGUUUGCUCUCUGGCGGGCACCAUGGCGGUGGUGGUGGCUAUGUCUCUUGGUUGUGUGGGCGGCGAGAGCUAUGGCGGCGGGUGACUCGGGCGUGCUCUAUCGUCUCUCGCAGUGAUGGCCCUCCGAUCCGGACCUAGGGAUCUGAUCUCGUCAAUCUUAUCCACAAGACCUCAUGGUGGCACGCGUGGGUUGCCAAGUGAAAGCUCUGCGCUUUGGUGCCAACGACGGCAGCGCUUGCGGCCGCGCCAUUCUCUUCUUGAAGACGUCGUUGUCAGGUUCCUCUCUGUGUCUGGUUCCGAGUGAAAACCUUUGCCCUCAGGGAGUCGGCAGUGGCGACGUUUCGCGUCGUUAUCCCUCUUGGGGGAGUUGUUGUGGAGCGUAGGUAGUGUAGGGUGUAGGGUGGCGUUCUACUCAGUUCUUCCCGUUUUCUAUAUCGGUGGUGUAGUCGUGUGCGUCUCGCGUGAUCCGGUUAUCCGAGGAUCGGCGUUGUAUAAGGGCUUCACAUCACUUUGUAUCGUUCGGUUGUGUACUCUGGUGUGUGUUUGCUUUAUAUAUAAAGCGGGACGAAAGCCUGUUUCGAGAACUUUUCUUAGUAGGCAGACUAAUGUAUAGGACUUUCAUGACAUAUUUUUGAACACACAAUAGAAGUAUUAGCUUUGAGAACGAACUCUAUAUGGGAACAAACUUCCUAAAGAUUUUGCAUGCGUGUCUUUUCACGUAGGUGCUAAGGACGCGCUACUACGAAAGUCCUCUUCUGCUCCCGAGCUCGAUGAAUUACAAUCUGAUUUUUUUUAAACUCAGAAAAAACAUCUGUAGCAAACUUUUUAAGUGUUUUGGGCGCUUGAAAAUUUUCAUCAUGAAAUGACAUUGUGGAAUUCAUGAAAAAAACCAGCACUCCAAAAUGCUUUCGAAAAUAACAUUUUUGGGCAACGUUUUUUCCUUUUUUUUGUGUCAUGACUUUCACGAAUGUCAUUUCAUGACAAUGUUUUGCAAGCACAAAAACAUUUGUCAAUGUUGGCCAUAUAAAUAAAUUCAGAAUUGUUUGAUUUUUUUAUUUUUUUUAUUUCAUUGCUCAUCAGGAAGCAUUUGAGCUCGGGAGCAGAUACUUCUCAUUCCUACUACUAUCGGUUAUGUUUCUGGAAAGGAAAAAAAACAUGAAAUAGACAUACCAACCAUAGUAUUGGAUCUGUUUAUGAAAGGCCAGUCCAUUUGCUACCUCGUUUAAGCAUUUUUUGCAAUUUUCUUUUUCCUCCUAUGGUUCUUAGGGUUUCCUUCCCGGGUUUCCUGUUUUGGUUUUCUCAUUGUUACCAUAGAUUUCAUUCACAUGUUUUCUCUUUUCGUUUUAUUGUUUUUCCCUGUUAAUUUUUCUGCUGUUCUAUAUAUUUUUUCUAUUCCUUUCCUAAUUUAUUUUCUAAAAUAUUAACAUUUAAGAGAAAAUUGAAAACAUUGCACGGGCCUGUCCGGCCGCGCCCUAGUGGUUGCAUCACCACUGACGCAUGUGCCCAAUAGUAGAAAGACCAAGGCUAGCCGUGACACGUGUCAACUGUACCACUACUUCAACAUGUGCAUCCUCAAAAAGAAACGAGGGAGCCUCAGACGUAGUCUAAUUUGCAGGGGUAGACAAAGGUUUAGCACUACAUAAGCGACUUGAUGCCAACAUUAGUCUCUGCUCUUUUGCUCUAUCUCGUUCAUCCAAACAUUUCCCAUUUAUGCAUGUAACGUUGACAGUUGCACGUGAGAAGUGUAUAGCUAGAUGACAUUGAGCACUUAUAAUUCAUAGACCAAUCUUCAUAUACAAAAAAUCAUCACACAUUACAGAUAACAGAAGAGAUGAAAUACCCACAUCUAGACAUCCAUGAUGAGAACUUGUACAUAAGCUGCAAGUCGCCAUUGCUGUGCAGGUCAACAUUUAUUAUGUAAAGAGUUCUAUAGAUAUUUAGGGAAAUUUUAUUUUAAGUAAGUAGGAUGCUAUAUCCAUGAAGUUCCAAACAAGAAUGGGCCCACCAAGUAAUUGUGAGCCACACUAAACUUGGACAAGGAUGUAUGAGCUGCACCAGGGAAGCCGAAAUCAAUCCACUGACAAGGAUGUAUGAGCUGCACCAGUACAAGGUCAUAUCAACGACGAUCAUCAUAUGUAGUUCUAGAUGAUAUCAACGACGAUCAUCAUAUGUAGUUCUAGAUGAUAUAGCCACACACACACAUAUGUAGUCUAGAUGAUAUCGAAGACAAUCAUCAUCCUCGAGCCUGGGCGGUUGGUGUUCCUGAUAGUAAUUAGGAUGGCCUGUCCAACACGAAGAUUCUUGCUAUCGAGGAAUUUCUUCCACCCAACCGAGUUUAAGUGUGUGCGACGGUCCGUGUCCACACGGUAAGUACAGGUUGUGACGAAACCCCUUGCAGUAAGGCGUAGUCCAGCUGAGCCUUCUUCAUCAGGCUCGAUACCAUAACUCACAAAUAUGCUCUUUGCCAAUUUCUGAAUAAGAAAAACAUUUCAAUUAAUAAAUAGCCUCGCAAAUAAGUACAUAUGGAUUAUCUACACUAUUAAUAGUUUCCUUAGAUUCUACACUAAUAAGUAUGUGAUCGAACUCUACACUAAAACAUAUCAUCGACUAGAUUCCACACAACAUACCAUAUCAUUGGACUGUACACUAAGUAUUUCAUCGGAUAAUUUGCAUUUGUAAGUAUAAUAUACCAUAUCAUGUCGAUCAACCAUGGUAUUUGUCAGGCGGGUCACGACUAGCACCCCGACAAAGUCAGCACGUGGCGGAAUUAUGUCCCACAGGUUGGACACCUCCUCCUCGCUCAGCCUUGUUCUUUGAGCUACGAUGGCUUCAUGAAGUGGGUCCUAUCAUCUUCAUCGAGUGGGUCCUCAUUAUCUUCAUCAUCUUCAUCAUCUUCCACCAGGUUGAGAUAAAUGACAGCUAGCUUGGGUCUUUCUGCUCUGAAGGAGAAGCUGAUCAACUCACCACCAGUAAGACGCAUGCGAGCGACGAAACAGGCCAAUCCAUCUCCUCCAAUCUGCGACAUAUUGCGUCCUUUCUCGACCUCCAUAGUGUACGGCCCCCCAGGAGCCUCAAAUGUCACAAUGUCUCCUGUCAGCUUGUUGAAUUUCAACCUCACAUUGCAUGGGACGUUCUGUGUAAAAUAAGCAAAAUGACACAAUGUAGUAAUGCCAACACUAAAAAUAAAAUAGUUAUUACAUUUCAUCUAAUUUCUUACCGCCGCAUGACGAAAACCCGGCUGGAAGUAGAUGCUGAACAACUUGCCAGUUGCAAGGCUGCUGGCGCACCUUGACUUGCACAGUCGACAUAGUGGUGGUGGUGGUGGCGCCAUUUUUCCGAAAGCAAUAUGAGCAAAGGAUUAACGAUCCACUUCACAGGAAAGAAAAAUAGUAGCAUGCGAUAUUUUUGGUUCUUCCGCGAGAAGCAAUUUGAUGGACAAUUAUAAUCCUAAGAUCUAGUAACAUAUUAGAUGACAAGGUACCACCUACAUUUUGCCAGAAAGUAACUUAUUAAAAAAAACAAAAGCAACUACGUACCUAUCCAUGUACAGAAAAAAUAACAAUAAAAUGGUGCAUACUAAAUCAACUAAAUGAACUAGCCUACUAAAUCAACUAAAUCAAAAUGUUCUAAAUCAACUAAAUGAACUAGCCUACUAAAUCAACUAAAUCAAAAUGUUCUAAAUCAACUAGCCUACUAAAUCAACUAAAUCAAAAUGUUCUAAAUCAACUAGCCUACUAAAUCAACUAAGUCAAAAUGUUGCAUAUGAACUAGCCUACUAAAUAAAAAUGUAGCAGGCAGGAGGGAGAAGGAGGGGCGACUCGAGGAGGGAGAAGAGAGUAGGACGGAGGAGGAAGGCGGAGCGAGGAGGGGCCGGCCGGCGGCCAGUGGAGGGAGGACGGAGGAGGAAGGCGGAGCGAGGAGGGGCCGGCCAGCGGCGAGUGGAGAGGGAGGACGGAGGAGGAGGCUGGUACCGAGUCCAGCAAGCAGGAGGAGGUGACGACGGCGCAGAGGGAGGAGGGGCGACGGGGGAGGACCGUCGCGGGGGAUUGAGAGGGAUGCAGUGAGUGUGUGACUGUGAGUGGAUCGGAUAGAGGAGAUGGGGGUGGGAGAUGGAAUGACUUAGCAGUAGCGCGCUAUAGAGAAAGACACUACUGCUAAACUACCUAGCAGCAGCGUCUUUCACAAAGAAGCGCUACUGCUAUGUGUCAGCAUGUAAAAAGAGACUUAGUUCAAUGUAUCAAAAAUACAUUGAUCAUCAACGAUCUUUUUGUGUACAAUCUGAUAUGUCAAUAUGAGUCCUCACCGGUUUAGGAACAGGUGAAGACUCAUAUUGCAGCCACAAAUUCUACACAUAGAGUUCAAUGAAGACCAAGUGCUUGUCAAAGUUUGAGAAGUAACAUAUUUAAGGUGGUAGAAACUCUCUUCAUAGAGCGAGGUGAGACUAAAUUUUUGUAGUAAACUUAGUAGUAGCGCUUAUUGGCGAAAUGCGCUGCUACUAUGCUACGUAGCAGUAGCGCCCGUCGAUAUAACGCGUUGCUGCUAUAGCUAGCCUUGCGGCGGCCUCGUGGGAAUUAUAGCAGUAACGCGUCUUUGAGCGGGUGCACUAUUGCUAUAUUUAUUUCAGCAACGAGUUAUUCUUGAGCUCGCUACUGCUAAUUAGCAGCAGGGCCUUAUUUUAAAGCGCGCUACUGAUAAGAUUCUGUGUAUAGGCUUUUCUCUAGUAGUGGAGGCGUGUCAACCAUUAGGACCUCCGCCGCGGGGUCGCUGCUGUCGCACUCAGACAGGGUCUCGACGGAGACAGUCGAACAUGCCGUAAAGAGAUUCGUCGGGCUCGAUUGCCGUGAUUUGAGGGCUGGCCGGCUGAUGCGCCACCGCAUGCUUCACCCACCGCUGUAGCUGUGACCAACCGGGUCGCUUGUGACGGCGAACAGCAGGGAGCGAAGAUGCCGCGGGGGCCGACCGAUACUGAGUCGACGGUUGCAGCAGAAGGACACUGCAAACGCACGCGCGAAAGUGCGUCGCCCCGCGGAUGGGGAGCGCCUCGACGUCGAGAGGAGCUUCCUGAAGCCAAGCGGAGUCGUUGGCGAUGAAGACGAGCGUGUCGAGACGGAUCUUGUGGCCCUCAGCCAAACCUCCACCGGAAAUCAUGAUGAAAGGACUCAGAGAAAUCGCAACGUCACUGGAAUGUCGCUAAGACACCUGCCCCAUGGUGGGCGCCAACUGUCGUGGUUCUAAGUCCGACAGUAAAGUAGGGGGUAGGAAUGUAGAGGCAAGAUCCUAGCUACGGUGAGAUUGUGCACGCAAGAUGUACGAGUUCAGGCCCUUCGCGGUGGAAGUAACAUCCCUACAUCUCGGUGCCCGGAGGCUCGGUCGAUUGGAUUAUGCGUGAAGUUACAGGGGUGCGAACCCCUGUCCCAGAGGAGGGGGUGGAUUAUAUAGAGUGCGUCAAGACCCCAGCCAUCCCCCGUUACAUAGGGUUCAAUGUAUAUAAUGAUGAGGUGCUACUGGUAACGCCAGUAAUAAAGUCAUAUAAUUGAUCAUUAAUGUUGCGGAGUGAAUGCCUGACCGUUGCUAUCUGGAGUGACUUUAGACCUUCUGUACUCCGAGUGGUUUCUUGUGCUGUCGAGUGAUGGUAUGCUUGGUCGAAUGGAAUUGGGGUAUCCGAGUGGAGGCGUUGGUCGAGUGAGCAUGCACUCAUGUGAUUCCAGCCGGUUUGAACUUGUUGUCCUUUGACUCUAGGGCAGUGUCCUUGGGAGGGGUUCUUAGAUCAGAUCUAUUGCCCUACCCUAGGUACACAACAUCGUCACGCGGGGAAAGACAGGGGAGGGUGCCGCCCCAUUCCUUUCUCCCAUGAGGAGGGAAAGGCGGGAGGGGCUAGCCCUCCCACCUUUCCUUCCCUAGGGCCGGCGGCCAGGGAGAGGUUGCGCCAGCCCACAAGGGGCUAGUGUGUGCCUCCCCUUGGCCCAUUAGGCCCAUGUAAUUCCCGUAGGUCUCCUGGAACCCCUUCCAGUGACCCGAUGCAUACCCGGUACAUCCCGAAACCUUUCUGGUGACCAAAUAACAUCGUUUUAUAUAUCAAUCAUUACCUCCGGACCAUUCCGGAGCUCAUCGUCAUGUCUGUGAUCUCAUCUAGGACUCCAAACAACAUUCAGUCACCAAUUCACAUAACUCAUAUAAUACUAUAUCGCCAAUGAACGUUAAGCGUGUGGACCCUACUGGUUUGAGAAUGAUGUAGACAUGACCGAGACGCCUCUCCAGUCAAUAACCAAUAGCGGAACCUAGAUGCCCAUAUUGGUUCCUACAUAUUCUACGAAGAUCUUUAUCGGUCGAACCUUUAUGACAACAUACGUAAUUCCCUUUGUCUGUCGGUAUGUUACUUGCCCGAGAUUCGAUCGAUGGUAUCUUCAUACCUAGUUCAAUAUCAUUACCGGCAAGUCUCUUUACUCAUUUUGUAAUACAUCAUCUGGUAACUAACUCCUUAGUUACUUUGCUUGCAAGCUUCUUGUGACGUGUAUUACCGAGAGGGCCCAGAGAUACCUCUCCGAUACACGGAGUGACAAAUCCCAAUCAUGAUCCAUGCCAACUCAACAGACACCUUCGGAGAUACCUGUAGAACAUCUUUCUGAUCACCCAAUUACGUUGUGAUAUUUGAUAGCACACAAGGUAUUCCUCCGGUAUCCGGGAGUUGCAUAAUCUCAUGGUCGAAGGAAUAUGUAUUUGACAUUAAGAAAGCAGUAGCAAUAAACUGAACGAUCAUAUGCUAAGCUAAUGGAUGGGUCUUGUCUAUCACAUCAUUCUCCUAAUGAUGUGAUCCCGUCAUUAAUUGACAACAUAUGUCCAUGGUUAGGAAACCUUAACCAUCUUUGAUCAACGAGCUAGUCUAGUAGAGGCUCACUAGGGAGACGGUAUUUGUUUCUGUAUUCACAUAUGUAUUUAAGUUUCCGAUCAAUACAAUUCUAGCAUGAAUAAUAAACCUUUAUCAUGAAUAAGGAGAUAUAAUAAUAACAACUUUAUUAUUGCCUCUAGGGCAUAUUUCAGUAAAUAUACAAAAAAUAGAAUGUCAAACGACAAAAAAAAUCAAGAUUGGUUCACGCUGAAACUGUACUAGAUGAGGGUGAAAAAAUUUCAUUCAACGUCAGCCAUGGAUCUUGCAAAAGAAAAAAAUCAACUAUGAAGCUAUGUGUUUUUAUGUAUGAGAAAUCAAAAGGUACAUGCUAAGAAAGGAAUACUUCAUGAUAUCCAUGAAAAAAAUGAAUAACACGUUUGUGUAGACAAGAUUUCAAAUUCUACAGAUUCUAUUGCUUCAUGAUUUGCAUCUAGUUAUAUAUGGAAUGCCUGAACUCCAUAAUGUUUAUUUUAGUGAAUAUUAUGUUUUAGUAAUGGAACAACAGUGCUACAAAUCGGAAUCCCUACUCCGGACUUGACUUGGUUGAUUCAUUCUGGAGACUAAUUGUUCUAAAGUGCAUGCAUAUUUGUGUGGGCAAUAGGUUUUCACUGGUUGAUUUGAAGCGAGAAACACUCCUGAGUUAUUAACUUUUUCCUUAGUUUUAAACUUCUAAAGAUAAGGAGAGGGGCAAACAAAGUGGCACACGAGAUUGCCAAGUUUUGUUCUGGUGUUCAAUCUGAUGCUAUAUUAGAGGGUUCUGUUCCUCAAUGUGUGGUGUCUUGUGUAACAGAUGAUUGCAAUUCUCUUUAUAGUUAAUAUAUGGGUUGUUUUACAAAAAGCACAUACUAAAAAAUAAAUACUUCCAUGCUCUCCAUGAAAAACGAAUGACAUAUAUUUAAAAUUCUUCAAAUUCUAUGGCGCUUCAAGAUUGGUGCCAUAUAUUUUUAUAUGGAAUUAUAUAAACACCAUUUUUUUGAACGCACAAUAUUUUGUUUUAGCAAUACCCCUGCCCCCUUCCCCUAUGGCCAUGUGCCCAUGCCCGCAUGAUAUUAACUUGGCCCCUAGGCUGUUGUCUUGUCUACAAGAGAAAACAACAUGAUUGCAGCUAGAGACAAAGUUGACCUUGGAGUUGCAUAUACCAUUUUUUUGGUGGAGAGCUAUCAAGUUGAGGCUCCCCUGGACGUCUGACAGACCUUUCAUCUGUAGCGGCUCCAUUUCCGUUUCACAGUGGGUCUUGCGCGCUAGCACCAAUAGAAAAACGGGCAUUAUCAGCGGCCCCGGAGAUGGUUGUGUCCCCAUGUUCCAAAUCCGCCUGUAAUAUUCCAUCAAAGGUGGUUAUUUCUUUGGUCGAGGAGGUUGAAAUUUGAAAGCGCCUAUAGUAAACAUCAAAGGCGGUUGUGAUUUUGAAACCGCCUAUAUUUAAAAAAAAUUGGAGGCAGUUUUUGAAAUGAAACCGCCUGUGGUACUUCCACNNNNNNNNNNNNNNNNNNNNNNNNNNNNNNNNNNNNNNNNNNNNNNNNNNNNNNNNNNNNNNNNNNNNNNNNNNNNNNNNNNNNNNNNNNNNNNNNNNNNNNNNNNNNNNNNNNNNNNNNNNNNNNNNNNNNNNNNNNNNNNNNNNNNNNNNNNNNNNNNNNNNNNNNNNNNNNNNNNNNNNNNNNNNNNNNNNNNNNNNNNNNNNNNNNNNNNNNNNNNNNNNNNNNNNNNNNNNNNNNNNNNNNNNNNNNNNNNNNNNNNNNNNNNNNNNNNNNNNUUCUCCACUCCUACUCAAAGAAACGAAUCUUCCGUCACAACAUCUUCAGCAUCCACAUCCCGAUAGGGUAAUGGGGUAAGUGGGCUAGUGCCCACCACUAGCUUCGCCAGCAAGCCACAUGGACAACCACUUGUAGGAGUCAUUCCUGCCGAUGCUGCCUGAUUUAUCGCCGCAUUAGUUGUGUCAACAUCUGGGCAAGGCAGGGGGUAACUGUGUCGGCUCCACCAGUGCCCCAGUCGGCAAGCCUUGAGGAUGACCACCUGAAGGAGUCCUUACCGACGUCGCUGGGAAUAAGUGUGUUGGAACCACUGCCUCUGCUGGUUUUGAUGUUUCAUGUCUUGCAUUUCCGUAGCUUCUGCAAGAGAUUUUGGUUGUAAAAAUGAAUAUCAUUAGCUGUUCAUCUAUUGUUUCGACAAAAAAAAUUCUCAAGUCCUCCUGAUAUUUUGGAUGUUAGAUGGACACACAUUUCUGUCUACUUUUAGAGUUAGUGUAUUACGGAGAUCCCCAAACAAAUUAUGCACUAGCCCAAUUCAACAUACCUUUCUGUAAUCUCUUUCACAUUCAGCCACACAUUACAAAAAGACUCCUUCGACGUUAAAAAAAGAGGCAUAGUUCUGUUCAGGCUUCCCGACGGGCGUGGCGUGCCACCACACUUCCGCGUGUUAGUUAGGAUACUAAACCCCCUAGAUUUGGAGCCUCCCGAUGCGUUGGGGGUUGUGGGGUACUGGGGUCGCUUGGGCCCAUCUGUAAGGGUGUUAAAUUCGCUAAUAUAUUUGAAGUCCACGAACAUUAAGUUUUUGACCUUUUUUUGAAAUCUAUGAACAACUGAAAGAAAUCAUGGUUUUUAAAUUUACAAAAAAAAAACAAAAAACAUAUAGUUUUUAACAUUGAACACGAUAUAUAUUUAAUGACCUACUUGCCUCCGGUGAUCACCACACAUGCAUGCCCACGUUGCACCCCGCAGCCCCUGCCUACCUCCCGCCACACUUCGAUUCAUUCGCCAGCCACUACCGUCGUUGGAAAUGACGCACCAAGCUGCCGAGAGCUCAUCGACGUGGAGCCGGAACGACACUGCACAUCCACCCCGAGUGCUCGCUCCGCCUUCGGACCUCUAAUUCGGGCCGCCACUGCUUCCUUGAGCUCCAUGUAGCAGCGACUUACUGCCCAAGUACCGAGGCAUGCGGUAGCAGCCAUGGGCACUUGGGAAACGAAAAUCCCAAAUUCAGAUAGGCGGGAGAAGAGGUGGCUCGAUUUAUUCGCCACCACGCGGAGGAGGCGGCACAAGCGUUCGACGUGAUGGAGCUCCGCUCCUUAGGGAGCCCGAUGAAGCAUAAUUUCUCCGUCGACACCCUCAUAGAAGCUCGAGGCUGAGUGUGGCAAUUCGGCCCUACAUGGCCGAGCUCAUCGCAAAGAACCGCAAUUCCUCGCCAGAUAUUCGACGAGCUCUUGGCCGAGCUCUCCGAGGAGGAGGAGGAGAUGGCGGCACCAACAAUGACGAGGCCGGCCCCUCACCGAGGUUAUAGUGCCACAGUUGGAUCAUCACUAUCACCCAGCCAGCAUAUAUUUAGAAACUAUCCUUAAUUGCAAAAACUCCAGUAGCUUGUAAACUCGUAUAUAGUACGAUCAUCCAAACCCUACGGCCCACACACAACUCAACUGAACCGGACCUUGAGACCACACCCCAUCGCACAGACCAGACCACACUCCUCAUCGAUCCCCUCCCAAUUGAAACCCUCGCCGCCGUCACCCACCAUGCCGCCGCCGCCACCAUCACUGCCGGGCGAGCUCCUCGAGGAGAUCUUCCUCCGCCUACCGCCGCACGAGCCCGCGUGCCUCGUGCGCGCCUCCCUCUCCAGCAAGCUCUGGCUUGUCCUCCUCUCCGGCCCUCGUUUCCGCGGUCGCUACCAUGACCACCAUGGAUCUCCUCCCAUGCUGGGCUUCCUUCGUGGUUUCUGGCUGGAGGGCUGCCACCGGGCGAAAAAGGUCCCGUCCCGCGCUUCACGUCCACCGCAAAAUUCGGCGCCCGCAUUCCCGACGAUGAAUGGGACGACUGUGACUACUUUGCGUGGGACUGCCGCCAUGGCCGCGUCCUUCUUGGGGAUGCGCUUAACUCCGUGCUCCUCGUCUGGGACCCCAUGACGGGCUGCCGGAGGGGGCUGGACUGGCCCAACCUGGUGGACGAUAGCCGCGGGGUUGCCGUGCUAUGCGCCCUUAGCGGCUGUGACCACCGCACUUGUCACGCGGCUCCCUUUCAGGUGGUUUUUGUCGGCAUGGAAAUGGGAGAAGAUGAGGAUGAUGAUUGUGCUGCAUUUGCUUGUGUGUCCUUGCCAGAGACCGGUGACUGGAGCAAGCCAUGCCCUACAUUGGAUCAGUGGGGCGAGCCAUGCCCACUUCUUCAUCUUCCAGCCGAUGCAUUCAUCAGGCCAAUCCCCCCCUGUCCUCAUCCAAGAAGCACUUCACUUCAUGAUUCAGUCUCUUAAAGAUGAUAGUGAAGAAAUUCUCAAGUAUGACUUGAGCUCUAAUAGCUUAUCAUUGAUUGGUGCACCGAUUCAGGAUCCUGAAAUUGUCAGUUACUCUAUCCUCCUGGCGAUGGCGGAUGGCAGUUUGGGGUAUGCAUAUGUCAACGGAUCAACCCUCUACCUGUGGUCAAGACUCAGCCUGGACACGGUCCGGGCCGGUCCGGUCCCGGUCCGAGCCAGCGUUUUGGACCGGCCGCCGGCGGUCCGGUCCGGACCGGACCGAACUGUCAAACGAGCUAGUAUUCUAGGACCGGACCAUUGGAGUGCCAGCUCGGUCAGGCUCGAGAGGACCGAAUGGACCGUCCAGCUUUUAGCUCCUGUUUGUUGCCAGGCAGUGUAUAUUUGCUCCUUUUAGGUCGUAUUUGUUGCCAAGCAGUGUAUGUUUAGGCAUCUGCUGGUUUUGGAGAGUAGAUUAAUCAAAAGUACAACAACAACAACACUACUGUUAGCUACUACCUAGGCUGUGUUCUACUGUUUAGGCAUCACAUACUGACAUGGAUGUAAUAUGACAAGUCAUCAGUGAUCACUACAGUUUUCAGAUAAGUUUGGACCGAAACAGCAGAAAUAUCACAGCCACAAACAACUAAUUUGGACAGAAAGCACUGGACUAAAUUUGGACAGCAAGAAUAACUAAAUUUGGACAGCAUUUCCUUUGUUUUUUGGACAUCCACAAUCUGAUUUUGACAGAAAAGAUGACACAAAUCAGGUUAAGCACAAAUAUCACAUCCACAAACAUAAGGUCUUAUCAUCAUCGAACGACACGAUUACAAACUUGCAAUGACAAUUCCAAGUCCAUGUCAAUUGACAAGUUGAACAUAACAUAAAUGAGAGGUUCAUCUCCAAGCUAGCAGUGACAAUUCAUAGUUCAUGACUUGAAAGGUUCCAACAUAACAGAAAUGCAAAAGUAGCCUUCACAUGAGAAAUAUCACUUUGACAUUCAUCUCCAAAAUAGCAAGAUCAACAUCCACAUGAUGAACGUCUACAAGUAAGAUAAGCAACAUUCACAUAAAUAAUACUUGGUAUCGUAUGACAAGUGAAACAUGUAGGAAGAAUAGUUACCAAUCAUUGAUCUCCUCCACCACAAUGGGUAACUUGAUGUUCUCAACAUCAUCCUCUUCAUUCUCAUCCCUCGGCUACAAGUGUGGAAGUUAGACAAAUGCUCACAUCACAAACAACAAGACCAAAAAAGAAAGAAAGAAAGGUAAGGAAAAGAUGGCAAACAUACUACCAGAUUCAAGUCAACAUGAGCACCCUUGAUAUAACUUGCAC
rnacentral:lncRNA from 1 species